rnacentral:rRNA from 1 species
UACGUAGGGGGCUAGCGUUGUCCGGAAUCAUUGGGCGUAAAGAGCGUGUGGGCGGCCCGGUAAGUCCGCUGUGAAAGUCGGGGGCUCAACCCUCGAAUGCCGGUGGAUACUGUCGGGCUAGAGUGCAGAAGGGGCAACUGGAAUUCUCGGUGUAGCGGUGAAAUGCGUAGAUAUCGAGAGGAACACCUGCGGCGAAGGCGGGGUUGCUGGGCUGACACUGACGCUGAGGCGCGAAAGCCAGGGGAGCGAACGGGG